CCGUGGCUUAUUCAUGAGGUACCGUCACUAUCUUCCCUCAUAAAAGAAGUUUACAACCCGAAGGCCUUCAUCCUUCACGCGGCGUCGCUGCGUCAGGGUUUCCCCCAUCGCGCAAAAUUCCCCA
rnacentral:rRNA from 1 species